AUGCGCCAGGCCCCAUGCUGGCUCCAGGCCUGCAGGAGACUCCAGCUAGGGAGGCAGCACCCAGCUUGCCGGCCAGGACUUGCCUGUUCAGGCCAUGAUGCUGGGGACAGAUCCUCUGAGGGAGACACCUGGCCCGGACUUCCAGGCCGGAGCAGCUGGAGCCGAGAUGGUGCCUUAUCUUCUGGCCAGUGGCUCAGUCCUGGGAAGGUUCGGAGGGCCCAACUCUGCUGCACAGAGCCGGGAUGCCCAGGACCCAUUUGCAUUUUGUUUCUUGAAGAUUCCUGUAAGCAAAUGUGUCCAUGCAAGGGAGGCCGGGAGCAAGCAGCACGAGUUACUGUCCGGAAGAGAAGGAAGUGGGAGAGACAAGUGACCCACUCUGCUCCUUGUUAGGACAAAGUCCUCGUGCCGGAAGGGUCUUCAGAACCCACCUGGACCAGUCUGGAUGUCACCGGCAGGCUGCACUGGGCCUGCUGCUUGCUUUGGUGAAUAAAGCUGUGUUGGGCGGGUCAUUCCUGUGCUGAGGAGUUUCUGCGGAGCCCGCCCUGCUCCCCACCUGUGAUGUGUGCUGUGUGGCUCCUCUCGGGGAAGUCUGCUGACUGCUGACCUCGUCCGGCAGUCUUGGGGCUGUCAGGUGUCACUCUGACGAGAAGAUAAGUGUGUAGCCCUUCCCGAGUUACAAAACAUCCGAACGCGCUCCUGUCCCAG
rnacentral:lncRNA from 1 species